rnacentral:lncRNA from 1 species
GAGGAAUUGGUCAAGACUCGCCAAGCCUGGUGUGAACUAAGCAUGGAACUGUUCUUCACUAAAAACAAAUCCAGGAAAACAAGACCUACUGGGCACUUGGUGAAAUGAAUGGGAGCAGUUUGGGAUAGGAGUGCCUCAUGCAGCAUGCAGACAACAGCUGCAAGGGGGAUAAAGAUUUGUGAAACAGCUACAGCUUGUAUAGUGGAACUAAGGAAGAAAGAUGAGUUUGGGAAGCAGAGAAUACGGCAUUAUGAGGGUAGAAAAGAGGUCUUAGUUCUUUGAUAUCAGCAAGCUGUUGUAAGUCAGUAAUAAGCAGGACUGAAGGGUGAGGCUUCUACAUGAGCAGCAUCACCUCAAAAGGUAUGGAACUGAUGUACGUAUGUCAGAGGAAAAAGAAAACCUCAAAACUCAAAGCUAAGCAGAAAUUAACCAUUUAACGCUUAGGAAUAAAGAAGCAGAAGGACAGAAUAACUUAUAAUGCUAUCACUCUUACAAAGUCUAAGCAUGUAUUACACAGAGUGAGAUACAGGAUCUUUCUUCCUAACCAGUUUAGUAGAGCACUCACCUGCAUGUAUUUGUCUUUAAUCUGUUCACAAGUGGAGAUACAGUUGGAGAUGUAAAGAUGAAUAAAUUCAGGAGGGAGAUCAACUGCAGUAGUAAGCCUGUUCAAAUUAAAGAUAUCGAAUACUUUAUGAAGCCAUAAAUUCAAUGAUUUCAUUGCAGAACAGAGUUAGACCUGCAAUAUUAAUCUAUUGCUGAUAGUGUUUCUUUUUUAAACCCAACACAGUACAGAAGCUGAGUUAAAUCUGGGCUUUAGUAUAUUUGACAUUAACACAAACAUUUGCUAUAAAUUACAGAAAUGAGUCAAUAUCAUUUUAAUCCUCCCUACUGCCUGAGUACUGAGAUUCUUCAUAUCAUUUGGCUUACCCAUACUGGGACUUCAGUGAGUCCUGGUGUUCCUUCCUGAAGAACACAACCAGCAUAACUGUUUUAUGCAAUUAAAGACCCAUUUCCUUACUUCUUUCAAAUCUACAUUUUUUUCCUGUGCUGGC